rnacentral:lncRNA from 1 species
AUGCCGAAUUCUAGGAACCAACCUAGAACGAAGAGGUUGUCACUAAAAGAACCAAACAUUACAAGAGUUAAAAAGCUAAGCGGCAUCUUCAGGAAGAGACGUAAGUGCCCUGAAAGUUCCCAUCACUCAUGUAACUUGAAGUCUGGUCAUUGCCACAGUCCCAGUGUGCCGCGGCUGUGUGGGUCUCCUCCGGCUUUCUCUGCCUUUAGAAAUGUGAAUUAGUGAAUUGCUGGAAUCACCACCGGACACACGCUCCAGUUUCUAGAGGAGAAGAUGACUGCCAGGAGCUGCAUUUGGAACGAUCUUUUGGCCACCUGAAAACUGACUGAAACUGCUAUUUCACUCACUGUUACCUUCUGCUUUUUAGAAGCGUAUCAACUGUCUGGGGUGCCUUGAUUCCAGCAAAUAUUCCCUGUUAUUCUAUUUUCUUUUUAUUUUACAGAUUUUAAAGUUUGGGCUCAAGUGACAAGGAAGAACAAAUCUAAUUUUAUAUUUUCACUAACAUCUCCCCUUGUCUUAAAUGUCUACCCCGGGCCUUCAUCUAGGCAAAAGUAAACAAAGAUACAAAGAAAUAAAAGCUUUAACAAUUUUAAAGAAAUUUAUUGA